rnacentral:rRNA from 1 species
UACAGAGGUCUCAAGCGUUGUUCGGAUUCAUUGGGCGUAAAGGGUGCGUAGGUGGCGGGGUAAGUCAGGUGUGAAAUCUCGGGGCUCAACCCCGAAACUGCACUUGAUACUGCCUUGCUCGAGUACUGGAGAGGAGAUUGAAAUUUACGGUGUAGCAGUGAAAUGCGUAGAUAUCGUAAGGAAGACCAGUGGCGAAGGCGAAUCUCUGGACAGUUACUGACACUGAGGCACGAAGGCCAGGGGAGCAAACGGG